AGCCAGAUAGCCUGACCGCGGGAUCCGCGAAGCCGGUGAGAAUCCGGCACAGUCCCGCUACGGUGACCAGCCAGGCGGCCGCGGGGCCGCCGCUGGAAGUCCGGUCGCCGGACCCGCGGUCGUGCUCGAACCUUCGAGAGAGAGGGUAGGCACCG
rnacentral:sRNA from 2 species